rnacentral:rRNA from 1 species
UACGUAGGGCGCAAGCGUUGUCCGGAAUUAUUGGGCGUAAAGAGCUCGUAGGCGGUUUGUCGCGUCUGCUGUGAAAACCCGAGGCUCAACCUCGGGCCUGCAGUGGGUACGGGCAGACUAGAGUGUGGUAGGGGGAGACUGGAAUUCCUGGUGUAGCGGUGGAAUGCGCAGAUAUCAGGAGGAACACCAAUGGCGAAGGCAGGUCUCUGGGCCACAACUGACGCUGAGGAGCGAAAGCGUGGGGAGCGAACAGG